UUCAAGAUUCUAAGAGCAAACGGUGGAUGCCUUGGCAUCUGGAGCCGAAGAAGGACGUAUAAAUCUGCGAUAAGCCUCGGGGAGCUGAUAAUAGAGCUUUGAUCCGAGGAUCUCCGAAUGGGGAAACCCCGCCAGGCCCUUUGGGUGACCUGGUGACUCCCGCCUGAAUAUAUAGGGCGGGUAGAGGGAACGUGGGGAAGUGAAACAUCUCAGUACCCACAGGAAGAGAAAGCAAAAGCGAUUCCGUUAGUAGUGGCGAGCGAAACCGGAAGAGGCCAAACCGAUCAUGUGUGAUAUCCGGUAGGAGUUGCAUGGUCGGGGUUGCGGGACUUUCCGUACAGUUCUACCGAGCUGUGAGGGCAAUGAGCGCGAUAUAGACGAAUGGUCUUGAAAGGCCAGUCAUAGAGGGUGCGAACCCCGUAGUCGAAAUGUCGUCGCCUGUCCGGAGAGUAUCCCAAGUAGCACGGGGCCCGAGAAAUCCCGUGUGAAUCUGUCAGGACCACCUGAUAAGCCUAAAUACUCCCAGAUGACCGAUAGCGGACAAGUACCGUGAGGGAAAGGUGAAAAGUACCCCGGGAGGGGAGUGAAAUAGUACCUGAAACCGUUUGCUUACAAACCGUUGGAGCACCCUUGUUGGUGUGACAGCGUGCCUUUUGAAGAAUGAGCCUGCGAGUUAGUGAUAUGUGGCGAGGUUAACCCGUGAGGGGCAGCCGUAGCGAAAGCGAGUCUUAAUAGGGCGUAUGAGUCGCAUGUUCUAGACCCGAAGCGAAGUGAUCUAUCCAUGGCCAGGUUGAAGCGACGGUAAGACGUCGUGGAGGACCGAACCCACUUCAGUUGAAAAUGGAGGGGAUGAGCUGUGGAUAGGGGUGAAAGGCCAAUCAAACUUCGUGAUAGCUGGUUCUCUCCGAAAUGCAUUUAGGUGCAGCGUUGCGUGUUUCUUGCCGGAGGUAGAGCUACUGGAUGGACGAUGGGCCCCAAAAGGUUACUGACUUCAGCCAAACUCCGAAUGCCGGUAAGUGAGAGCGCAGCAGUGAGACGGUGGGGGAUAAGCUUCAUCGUCGAGAGGGAAACAACCCAGACCACCAUCUAAGGUCCCUAAGCGCGUGCUAAGUGGGAAAGGAUGUGGAGUUGCAUAGACAACCAGGAGGUUGGCUUAGAAGCAGCCACCCUUGAAAGAGUGCGUAAUAGCUCACUGGUCAAGUGAUUCCGCGCCGACAAUGUAACGGGGCUCAAGCACGCCACCGAAGUUGUGGCAUUUAUAUUAUAGGCAGGCCUUCGUGGUCCAGCCGUAUGGAUGGGUAGGAGAGCGUCGUGUGGCCAGCGAAGCGGCGGUGUGAACCAGCCGUGGAGGCCACACGAGUGAGAAUGCAGGCAUGAGUAGCGAAAGACGGGUGAGAAACCCGUCCUCCGAAAGACCAAGGGUUCCAGGGCCAGGCUAAUCCGCCCUGGGUAAGUCGGGACCUAAGGCGAGGCCGACAGGCGUAGUCGAUGGACAACGGGUUGAUAUUCCCGUACCGAUGAAGAACCGCCCAAGACAAUCCAGUAAUGCUAAGUGUCUGAAUCCUUGAUUCGAUCCCUUCGGGGUGACGGUCUUGGCCUAGCACACGACCCUACGCUGGGGCGUUUAGCGUAUUAACAGGUGUGACGCAGGAAGGUAGCUGAGCCGGGCGAUGGUUGUCCCGGUCUAAGGAUGUAGGGCAGAAGAUAGGCAAAUCCGUCUUCUAUGUAGCCUGAGACCCGAUGGGUAGUCCUCACGGACGAAAUCAGUGAUCCUAUGCUGCCGAGAAAAGCAUCGACGCGAGGUUCCAAUCGCCCGUACCCCAAACCGACUCAGGUGGUCAGGUAGAGAAUACUAAGGAGAUCGAGAGAAUCGUGGUUAAGGAACUCGGCAAAAUGCCCCCGUAACUUCGGGAGAAGGGGGGCCUGAGGCGUGUAGGGAUUUACUCCUGAAGCGUUUGAAGGCCGCAGAGACCAGUGGGAAGCGACUGUUUACUAAAAACACAGGUCCGUGCUAAGUCGCAAGACGAUGUAUACGGACUGACGCCUGCCCGGUGCUGGAAGGUUAAGAGGAACGGUUAGCACGCAAGUGCGAAGCUGAGAAUUUAAGCCCCAGUAAACGGCGGUGGUAACUAUAACCAUCCUAAGGUAGCGAAAUUCCUUGUCGGGUAAGUUCCGACCUGCACGAAUGGCGUAACGACUUCCCAGCUGUCUCAACCGCGAACUCGGCGAAAUUGCACUACGAGUAAAGAUGCUCGUUACGCGCAGCAGGACGGAAAGACCCCGUGACCUUUACUACAGCUUGGUAUUGGUGUUCGGUGUGGCUUGUGUAGGAUAGGUGGGAGACUGUGAAGCUCGGACGCUAGUUCGGGUGGAGUCAUUGUUGAAAUACCACUCUGGUCACUCUGGAUAUCUAACUUCGAACCGUAAUCCGGUUCAGGGACAGUGCCUGGUGGGUAGUUUAACUGGGGCGGUUGCCUCCUAAAGAGUAACGGAGGCGCCCAAAGGUUCCCUCAACCUGGUUGGUAAUCAGGUGUCGAGUGUAAGUGCACAAGGGAGCUUGACUGUGAGACUGACAAGUCGAGCAGGGACGAAAGUCGGGACUAGUGAUCCGGCAGUGGCUUGUGGAAGCGCUGUCGCUCAACGGAUAAAAGGUACCUCGGGGAUAACAGGCUGAUCUUGCCCAAGAGUCCAUAUCGACGGCAUGGUUUGGCACCUCGAUGUCGGCUCGUCGCAUCCUGGGGCUGGAGUAGGUCCCAAGGGUUGGGCUGUUCGCCCAUUAAAGCGGUACGCGAGCUGGGUUUAGAACGUCGUGAGACAGUUCGGUCCCUAUCCGCUGCGCGCGUAGGAAAUUUGAGAAGAUCUAUCCCUAGUACGAGAGGACCGGGAUGGACGAACCUCUGGUGUGUCAGUUGUUCCGCCAGGAGCACCGCUGAUUAGCUACGUUCGGAACGGAUAACCGCUGAAAGCAUCUAAGCGGGAAGCCGGCUUCGAGAUGAGAUUUCCAUCCCUUUUAGGGUGAAGGCUCCCGGCUAGACUACCGGGUUGAUAGGCAGGAUGUGGAAGCGAGGACUAAAGACUCGUGGAGCUGACCUGUACUAAUAAGCCGAUAUCUUGAAAGCAC
rnacentral:rRNA from 1 species